UGCUUCUCUUGCGCUCUUGGGCUC
rnacentral:miRNA from 1 species